AUUGAACGCUGGCGGCAGGCUUAACACAUGCAAGUCGAACGAGUGGCGGACGGGUGAGUAAUGCUUGGGAAUCUGGCUUAUGGAGGGGGAUAACGACGGGAAACUGUCGCUAAUACCGCGUACCAUAGGAUGAGCCCAAGUGGGAUUAGGUAGUUGGUGGGGUAAUGGCCUACCAAGCCGACGAUCCCUAGCUGGUCUGCGAGGAUGACCGGCCACACAGGGACGAGGCCACGGCCCGAACUCAGAGGGAAGGAAGCAGUGGGGAAUAUUGGGCAAUGGGGGAAACCGGACGCAGCCAUGCCGGGUGGAGGAAGAAGGCCUUUGGGUUGUAAAGUUCUUUCGGUGACGAGGCGUUAAUCACAGAAGAAGCACCGGCUAACUCCGUGCAAGCGGCCGAGGUAAUA
rnacentral:rRNA from 1 species